UACGUAGGGGCAAGCGUUGUCCGGAUUUAUUGGGCGUAAAGAGCGUGUAGGCGGCCAUACAGGUCAGCUGUGAAAACUCGAGGCUCAACCUCGAGACGUCGGUUGAAACCGUAUGGCUAGAGUCCGGAAGAGGAGAGUGGAAUUCCGGUGUAGCGGUGAAAUGCGCAGAUAUCGGGAAGAACACCCGUGGCGAAGGCGGCUCUCUGGGACGGUACUGGACGCUGAGAGCGAAAGCGUGGGGAGCGAACGAGGA
rnacentral:rRNA from 1 species